GUCCAUUCCAUUAAGAUACAACUUGGGAGUUUUCACCCCUGCAUUCAUCCCUGCCCAGUGCAGGUCAGCACCAAAAACAUCAAGUUCAAAUAACACGUAGUAGAGAUUAGUACAGCAAAAGCUUUGAACAUAAGUAUGUCUUUGGUAGCACUUCUGACAGGUAGGCAGGUUAAGAGGGUUUUCAGACCUGAUUUUUCUAUCAAAGCCAGACUGAACCCAGCUUCUUCAUUGAUGCUAUCAGCUUCAGGGAGUUCCUUUCACACAAGAUCCAUCAGACAUACUGCCGUCUGCAUCAAGAGAAAACAGGCUACUUUCUAGCCAGAUUAACCUGCUACCUUAAACUGCCACAUUUAAAACUACAUGCACACACACCCAAGGAUAUUUUACAGGGACUAUGUUUGUGAAUGUGUAUUCUAGGGCUCCUGCUACCACUACUGAUAGGGAGCCCUUCAGGACUGUCAUCUGUCAUACUCCGUACUGUGGUCUAUCUGCACUCCAUGACCCAAAGCCUUCAUCACCCCACCAUGUGCAGCUGCAGCUCUCACCCCAGCCUGUUGCUAACCAGCACUCCUGGAUAUGUCCAGCACGCAGCCCUGGGCAGCAGCACAAGCAUUCCAGGGCCAGAACAGUUUAUUCCUAGUUGUUUGUAAUUGGCAUGGUAGGAUUUCUCAGUGCUUUGUUUCAGAAGAAAAUUAAGCUAAAAACGCCAGAUGUUUGGAUAAAAGAAGGGAACUGUAGAAAACUGCAAAAAAGUGACAGAUGCUGAGUUACCUCAGUGGCCAUUACAGUCUCUUCUGUUGUUGCCCACAGGACGAGCACCUGAAAUGCUAUUUGUAUAUAUAAAGCUGGUCUGAGAUUACUGGGGGAGAAAUAGGCAGGACGCAGCAGCUCGUUGGCUCAACAUUCAGAGUAUCAAUUAAUUUUGAAUGCACUGUUAAAGAACAUAUUUCUUUCAGGUAUCUUGGCAGGAAGCAUUCAGCAACACAUGAAGAACUCACAGACAACACUGUAUUCUAAACAGCAGACCUGUACUGGCUGGGCUACUCCAGAACCACCAUUUCUCUCAGCACUCUGGCAAAGCCCUGAUCAUCAUCAGCAGGUUAAAAGGUCAGAUUGGAGAACCAGUCAAACUUCUUUACAGCACACGCUCAACAGGCAGGGCCAGGGAACGUCACCAGGGACUUUCAGCAUAGCCACUACUAACCUGUCUUCAUGUCUCUGGAUCUGCAAAAUGCCAGAACAUGCAAAGAAAACGUGCCAUGCUUCCAGGUGCUACCUUUAUAGAAGAGUCCCUCAGCCUUCGACAAACUGCUGUAACCUUACAGACACAGAUAAUUCCUGCCUUAAGAGGCACAAUAACACAGCAGUUUUUUCAUUCCUGGGACACAAAACCCACUUUGUUAGCAACAGGUACCAACACAACUGCUGCAAGUUCCCAAAUGAACUGAACCAUGCUCCUGCAAACAUUUUACUUUUCCAAUAG
rnacentral:lncRNA from 1 species